rnacentral:rRNA from 1 species
AGAGUUUGAUCCUGGCUCAGGAUUAACGCUGGCGGCGUGCCUAACACAUGCAAGUCGAGCGGCAGCGAGUUUUACACUGAAUUCUGGAAGCUUCUGGGUAAUAUAGAAGAUUUAUUCAAGAAUUUUGUGUAAAAUGUCGGCGAGCGGCGGACGGCUGAGUAACGCGUAGGAAUUUGCCCCAAAGUGAGGAAUAACUGCCCGAAAGGGUAGCUAAUGCCGCAUAUGGUCUUCGGAUUAAAGCCUUCGGGCGCUUUGGGAGAAGCCUGCGUUGGAUUAGGUAGUUGGUAGGGUAAUGGCCUACCAAGCCGACGAUCCAUAGCUGGUCUGAGAGGAUGAUCAGCCAGACUGGAACUGAGACACGGUCCAGACUCCUACGGGAGGCAGCAGUGAGGAAUCUUCCACAAUGGGCGAAAGCCUGAUGGAGCAACGCCGCGUGAAGGAUGAAGGCCUUCGGGUUGUAAACUUCUUUUAUGAGUGAAGAAUAUGACGGUAACUCAUGAAUAAGCACCGGCUAACUACGUGCCAGCAGCCGCGGUCAUACGUAGGGUGCAAGCAUUAUCCGGAGUGACUGGGCGUAAAGAGUUGCGUAGGCGGUUUAAUAAGUGAAUAGUGAAACCUGGUGGCUCAACCAUACAGACUAUUAUUCAAACUGUUAAACUCGAGAAUGGUAGAGGUAACUGGAAUUUCUAGUGUAGGAGUGAAAUCCGUAGAUAUUAGAAGGAACACCGAUGGCGUAGGCAGGUUACUGGGCCAUUUCUGACGCUAAGGCACGAAAGCGUGGGGAGCGAACCGGAUUAGAUACCCGGGUAGUCCACGCCGUAAACGAUGGAUACUAGCUGUUGGAGGUAUCGACCCCUUCAGUAGCGAAGCUAACGCGUUAAGUAUCCCGCCUGUGGAGUACGGCCGCAAGGCUAAAACAUAAAGGAAUUGACGGGGACCCGCACAAGCGGUGGAUUAUGUUCUUUAAUUCGAUGAUAACCGAAGAACCUUACCAGGGCUUGACAUCCAGGGAAGGUCUGCGAAAGUAGACUGUGCCUUUUGGAACCCUGUGACAGGUGAUGCAUGGCCGUCGUCAGCUCGUGUCGUGAGAUGUUAGGUUAAGUCCUUCAACGAGCGCAACCCUUGUGAAUAGUUGUAUUUUUCUAUUCAGACUGCCCCGGUAACGGGGAGGAAGGAGGGGAUGAUGUCAGGUCAGUAUUUCCCU